rnacentral:rRNA from 1 species
UUACCUACGGGAGGCAGCAGUGGGGAAUAUUGCACAAUGGGGGGAACCCUGAUGCAGCGACGCCGCGUGAAGGAAGAAGUAUUUCGGUAUGUAAACUUCUAUCAGCAGGGAAGAAAAUGACGGUACCUGACUAAGAAGCCCCGGCUAACUACGUGCCAGCAGCCGCGGUAAUACGUAGGGGGCAAGCGUUAUCCGGAUUUACUGGGUGUAAAGGGAGCGUAGACGGCAUGGCAAGUCUGAAGUGAAAGCCCGGGGCUCAACCGCGGGACUGCUUUGGAAACUGUUAAGCUGGAGUGCAGGAGAGG